rnacentral:sRNA from 1 species
GCCGGGCGUCGUGGUGCGCCCUUGUAAUCCCAGCUGUUUUGGAGGCUGAGGCAGGAGGAUUGCGAGUUCAAAGCCAGCCUCAGCAAUUUAGGGAGGCGCCAAUUAACUCAGUGAGACCCUGUCUCUA